GGAGCCGUGCCUGAAGUAAAGGGCCACUUUGAUAGAGUGAACCAUGAGGGUUAAAUUCCCUCCGACUCCU
rnacentral:tRNA from 1 species